AAGUCGUAACAAGGUUUCCGUAGGUGAACCUGCGGAAGGAUCAUUAACGUAUCUCUGACGGCGAGGGUCUGCCCAGCUCCGUACCGAAAGGGCGUGCAGCGGGUGGGCCCGAGUCGCUCAACCUUUGCAAACCCACCGUGCACUUUUGCCGGCGGAGGGUCCCCGUGGCCCCGAGCCGGAUCACAAACUCCAAGUUUGAUUUGAAUGUGAAGCGGACAUGUGCCGCCUAAACUUUAACAACUUUCAACAACGGAUCUCUUGGCUCUCGCAUCGAUGAAGAACGCAGCGAAAUGCGAUAAGUAAUGUGAAUUGCAGAAUUCAGUGAAUCAUCGAAUCUUUGAACGCACCUUGCGCUCCUUGGUAUUCCGAGGAGCAUGCCUGUUUGAGUGUCUUGAAGUCAUCAACCCCUCCCGUUUUUGUGCGGGAGGAAGGUUGGAGAUGGGGGCCUGCGGUCGUGAGGCCGCUCCCCUCAAAUGCUUCGGUUGGGCCCGCGGGUCGAACUCGGUUGGGCGUUGUACCAUCCUCGCUCUUUGUCCGAGAAGUUCCCCUUUGAUUGAGCCCUCCCACGACUGCCUUUCCAGAGGUGGUCAAUCUAAUUUUGAAAUCUGACCUCAAAUCAGGUAGGACUUACCCGCUGAACUUAAGCAUAUCAAUAAGCGGAGGAAAAGAAACUAACAAGGAUUCCCCUAGUAACUGCGAGUGAAGCGGGAAAAGCUCAAAUUUGAAAUCUGGCAGCUCCGCUGUCCGAGUUGUAUUCUGGAGAAGCGUCUUCCGUGCCGGACCGUGUACAAGUCCCUUGGAACAGGGCGUCAUAGAGGGUGAGAAUCCCGUCUUUGACACGGACCCCCGGUGCUAUGUGAUGCGCUCUCGAAGAGUCGAGUUGUUUGGGAAUGCAGCUCAAAAUGGGUGGUAAAUUCCAUCUAAAGCUAAAUAUUGGCGAGAGACCGAUAGCGAACAAGUACCGUGAGGGAAAGAUGAAAAGCACUUUGGAAAGAGAGUAAAACAGUACGUGAAAUUGUUGAAAGGGAAACGCUUGAAGUCAGUCGCGUCUGCCGGAACUCAGCCUUGCUUCUGCUUGGUGCACUUUCCGGUCUGACGGGCCAGCAUCGGUUUCGAGCGGUGGACACUGGCGUGGGGAAGGUGGCAGCUCCGGCUGUGUUAUAGCCCUGUGUCGCAAACGCCGCCCGGGACCGAGGAAUCCGGCGCAAGCCUGGGAUGCUGGCGUAAUGGCUUUAAACGACC
rnacentral:rRNA from 1 species